GGAGAGAUGGUUCAGUGGUUAGAGCACUGGCUGCUCUCCCCAAGAGGACCUGGGUUCUAUUCCCAGUAUCCACA
rnacentral:tRNA from 1 species